AUUUUCGUACCAAAAUGCCCAUGUCUUCUUCCUUGCUCAUCUUCUUCCUCUGUGCCUGCAAAGUCUUCCACUGCUGCUAGCCCCUGCAAGCUCAUCCUUCUCGCCUCUCAUGCUGGCCAUCUUCCUCUGUCACUGGAUGGAUCAAGGAGAUGAGCAAGGGAGAAGACAUGGGUAUUUUGGUCAGAAA